rnacentral:ribozyme from 1 species
UUGCAAGAUGAGCAGUGAAGAAGAACCAACAACGUCUACGCCUACUGACGACUCGCCACCAAAAAAGAAAAAGAAACGGAGAAAGAAAGCCAAAAAGAAAGAGACACCACCAGUCAGCGAAACUGAGGACAUAGAUGAGAUUGUAGUCGUAAGGGACUAUUCUAGGGGCACAGCAGUCCAAUUCAGCGCAACAUUCCCCGAAGAGCUCUCU